AGCAGCCGCGGUAAUUCCAGCUCCAAUAGCGUAUAUUAAAGUUGUUGCAGUUAAAAAGCUCGUAGUUGAAUUUCGGGAUCAGUACGCUGGUCAUGCCUUUGGUAUGCACUGGUGUCACUGGUUUCUCCCUUCUGAAGAUCCGUGAUGUCAUUAAUUUGGUGUCGCGGGGAAUCAGGACUGUUACUUUGAAAAAAUUAGAGUGUUUAAAGCAGGCUCACGCUUGAAUACAUUAGCAUGGAAUAAUGAAAUAGGACGUUUGACCCUAUUUUGUUGGUUUCUAGGAUCGACGUAAUGAUUAAUAGGGAUAGUUGGGGGCAUUAGUAUCCAAUUGUCAGAGGUGAAAUUCUUGGAUUUAUUGAAAGACUAACUACUGCGAAAGCAUUUGCCAAGGAUGUUUUCAUUAAUCAAGAACGAAAGUUAGGGGAUCGAAGACGAUCAGAUACCGUCGUAGUCUUAACCAUAAACUAUAGCCGACUAGGGAUCGGAUGAUGUUAAUUUUAUAAUGACUCU
rnacentral:rRNA from 1 species